AGGGCACUCAGAUAACUUAUUAAAAGUGUGCUUCUUUCUUUCUUUUCUCCCGUCUUGCUUACCUCUUGUCUGAGUCUAGAAAGUGAGCAACAUUCACUCACUGAGUUGGACAGUGGUGAAGUGUGUGUUCCUGCCUGCUCCUUAUACUAGGCGUCAUGAAGGAAAGCUGACAGAAAUACUAGAAGCCACUGAACCACUCCUAUCAGCUGUAGUCGUGAAUUGAGGUCUGACAUGAACUGAGGUGUCUCCUUCUGACCCUAGGUUCCCAUCUGGCCCUACUCCAAAUUCUCAUAUUCUCAUUUUCCUCUUUCUGCUCCUGUGAUAAAUGAAUGAUACACCAUACCCUUCCCCCACCCCCAAUUCUGUUUUCAUUUAUUUGAGCACAAAGUCAUCUGGGGCUUGGGGAGCAGCACAGUGUCAAAGCACUUGUGUGAUAUGCCAAAGGCCUUGGGUUCUAUUCACGGCGCUACAAAGAGAAGGAAAGCACCAGCUGUAUCUUCAUAACUGUGUCAAUAAGAAAAAUAUAUUCCAUUUAAGCUAACGGUUCAGUACAGGCUGCACAAUGGACAGUUCCUUCAGACCACAGAUUGAUAACUUUGGACUGUCAAUGUCACAAGGAAAUGAUGGCCAGGGGCCUAGAUAUUUGCAUCAGCAUUCCUUCCCGGAAGUGGGGGGUCUGGUGUUUGUUAAAGCCACCUUCCAGGUCUAGCGAUUCUGGCUUCACUUGCCUUGGAGAGUGAUGAGUCUUUGCUUACCUGCCUCACUAUGACUCCUGAGACUUCACUGUGGAUACCCGACAGGCAGGCAUUUGUGGAAACUCUCAGCAGAAUUCCAUCAACAUGUUGUAAAGCAAAACCAGUUGUAAAUAUUCCAAAAAGAGAUCCAGUUAGGAAAACUCUUUUAGCAGGGAAGGAAAAAAAAAGUUGUUUUGUAAAAAGAAGUCUUCACACAAAAUUAACCCUUCGUGGUCUGCUUUUUAGAUCCGGGGAAGUUAUUGGGUGUUUCCAGAGGAGUUGUAUCUCUACAACAUCUGGUAUUGGUCACUACUGGGAUUCUUGUAACAUGCCACAAAUUCAGAUUAUGUCACGGAACUGACAGUGUUCUUAGUCUUUUUUACAAAUGAGACCAUCUGCUCUGCUAGGAAUGCUUAAGGUGUCUAUGCCAUUUCGUGCAACCUGUGAGAGAUAAAGUCUCACCCUAGAUAACUUACAUCAUGCUACAGUUCAGUGUGACUUGGGAGACAGUGGUAUUUAACUGUAAAUAGUUUAGGUAAAUUAAAGUCAUACAUUUUAAAGCCAAAAGCCCAGUACACUUUUCUACACCUUCUGAACCAUAAAUUCAUGAGUUUUGUGCAGAAACCAAAUAUUAUAAACUGGAGUGGUAUGACUCAACCCCAAGGAGUAGUGGGGAAACAUACGCUGUCCUCUUGGUUGUAGGAUUGUGACCUCUCUGGAUGGCCAUACAGCUUUGCUGCAUGUGGCUUCCAUCAAGACUUCCAUGUAAUAACUGCCAAUCUUUUAGCUUACACUCCUCAAGACUGGAAAACCAAAGAACUUCUGAGGAUGGAACUCUUCUCUGGAUGGAAAAUCCUCUCUGGACUCAAGCUGAUUUCAUGGAGGCCAAAGUAACACAUAACACAAGUUUAAUCAGGGAUUUCUGCUUAGAAAGAAGAACCACACAAGCACCUGCACAUCCAUCAAAGAAUCCCAGAAACAGAAGCCUUCAAGAUCAAGAGGCUUAGGUGCUUGAAAAAAAAUGGCUUUUGGAGGCCAGAAAGCAAGUGAACAAGGGAGAGAAGAUACUCAGGACAGAAGAUACUGCACCACGUUUGGAAGUCAUCCAGGGAUGAGACCCGUGUGUGGUAAGACAGAACAUCAUGGAGGAGAGAAGCUGCUGACUGUGGCAGAUAAGACCCAGAGAAAGACAAUGAAAAGGACAGUAACUGGAAUAAGGCAGAACUUUCCAAGUGGAUUCCUUUGCUGGGAAAUGAAAAUACCUUCGUGUUGAAAUGGCAAUCCGUGGUGGUUUCUCUGCUGAAUGGACCCUGACAGA
rnacentral:sRNA from 1 species